rnacentral:rRNA from 1 species
CGGGGGCUUCGGCCUGCCGGCGAGUGGCGAACGGGUGAGUAAUGCAUCGGAACGUGCCCAUGUCGUGGGGGAUAACGUAGCGAAAGCUACGCUAAUACCGCAUACGUCCUGAGGGAGAAAGCGGGGGAUCUUCGGACCUCGCGCGAUUGGAGCGGCCGAUGUCGGAUUAGCUAGUAGGUGGGGUAAAGGCCCACCUAGGCGACGAUCCGUAGCGGGUCUGAGAGGAUGAUCCGCCACACUGGGACUGAGACACGGCCCAGACUCCUACGGGAGGCAGCAGUGGGGAAUUUUGGACAAUGGGCGCAAGCCUGAUCCAGCCAUGCCGCGUGAGUGAAGAAGGCCUUCGGGUUGUAAAGCUCUUUCGGCCGGGAAGAAAUCGUGUUCUCUAACAUAGGACAUGGAUGACGGUACCGGACUAAGAAGCACCGGCUAACUACGUGCCAGCAGCCGCGGUAAUACGUAGGGUGCGAGCGUUCAUCGGAAUUACUGGGCGUAAAGCGUGCGCAGGCGGUUUGCUAAGACGUGUGUGAAAUCCCCGGGCUUAACCUGGGAACUGCGCUUGUGACUGGCAGGCUAGAGUACGGCAGAGGGGGGUGGAAUUCCUGGUGUAGCAGUGGAAUGCGUAGAGAUCAGGAGGAACACCGAUGGCGAAGGCAGCCCCCUGGGCCUGUACUGACGCUCAUGCACGAAAGCGUGGGGAGCAAACAGGAUUAGAUACCCUGGUAGUCCACGCCCUAAACGAUGUCAACUGGUUGUUGGGGGAGUGAAAUCCCUUAGUAACGAAGCUAACGCGUGAAGUUGACCGCCUGGGGAGUACGGUCGCAAGAUUAAAACUCAAAGGAAUUGACGGGGACCCGCACAAGCGGUGGAUGAUGUGGAUUAAUUCGAUGCAACGCGAAAAACCUUACCUACCCUUGACAUGUCCGGAAUCCUGCUGAGAGGUGGGAGUGCCCGAAAGGGAAUCGGAACACAGGUGCUGCAUGGCUGUCGUCAGCUCGUGUCGUGAGAUGUUGGGUUAAGUCCCGCAACGAGCGCAACCCUUAUCAUUAGUUGCUACGCAAGGGCACUCUAAUGAGACUGCCGGUGACAAACCGGAGGAAGGUGGGGAUGACGUCAAGUCCUCAUGGCCCUUAUGGGUAGGGCUUCACACGUCAUACAAUGGUCGGUACAGAGGGUUGCCAAGCCGCGAGGUGGAGCCAAUCCCAGAAAGCCGAUCGUAGUCCGGAUCGUUCUCUGCAACUCGAGAGCAUGAAAUCGGAAUCGCUAGUAAUCGCGGAUCAGCAUGUCGCGGUGAAUACGUUCCCGGGUCUUGUACACACCGCCCGUCACACCAUGGGAGUGGAAUCUGGCAGAAGUAGUAGCCUAACCGCGAGGGG